rnacentral:rRNA from 1 species
UNAUUCGACGCAGCGCGNAGAACCUUACCAANGCUUGACAUAUACAGGAAUAUGGCAGAAAUUCCAUAGCCGCAANGUCUGUAUACAGGUGGUGCAUGGUUGUCGUCAGCUCGUGUCGUGAGAUGUUGGGUUAAGUCCCGCAACGAGCGCAACCCUCGUUCUGUGUUGCCAGCAUUUAGUUGGGGACUCACAGGAGACUGCCGGGGUUAACUCGGAGGAAGGUGGGGAUGACGUCAAAUCAUCAUGCCCCUUAUGUCUUGGGCUGCACGCAUGCUACAAUGGCUGGUACAAACGGCUGCGAUACCGCAAGGUGGAGCGAAUCCGAUAAAGCCAGUCUCAGUUCGGAUUGGGGUCUGCAACUCGACCCCAUGAAGUCGGAGUUGCUAGUAAUCGUAGAUCAGCAACGCUACGGUGAAUACGUUCCCGGGGCUUGUACACACCGCCCGUCACGUCACGAAAGUCGGUAACACCCGAAGUCAGUGGCCCAACCGUAAGGGGG